rnacentral:rRNA from 1 species
AUGCUGCCCACCGGCAGGAGCAGGCCUCAGCCCAGGCCCGCGCCCAGAUCUUGGUCCUUCUCAGACAUGGACUUCUCUGAUCCGAAGCGCAACUCCAGGUACCUCAGCAAGAUCAUCAUGGUCGCGCUCCUCACGGCCAUGUGCGUCGUCAUGCUCACCCAGCCGCCCUGCCAUAGGAAGGCUCCCAGCGUGUUCUCCAUCCAUGAACUCGGAGUAACACAUGUGUUGGUGACGGGUGGCGCUGGCUACAUAGGAUCGCAUGCGGCUCUUCGAUUGCUCAAAGACUCCUUCAGAGUCACCAUUGUGGAUAAUCUCUCAAGAGGAAAUAUCGGGGCGGUCAAGGUUCUUCAGAACUUGUUUCCUGAUCCUGGGCGAUUGCAAUUCAUACAUGCUGAUUUAGGCGAUCCAAAAGCUGUCAACAGAAUAUUCGCAGAGAAUGCAUUUGAUGCCGUCAUGCACUUCGCUGCUGUCGCGUAUGUGGGAGAGAGCACGCUUGAGCCUCUGAGGUACUAUCAUAACAUCACUGCAAACACUUUGGUUGUGCUAGAAGCCAUGGCGACGCACAAUGUUAAAACCCUGAUCUACUCUAGCACAUGUGCCACCUACGGGGAACCCGAGAAGAUGCCUAUCACUGAAGAAACUCCCCAGUUUCCUAUAAACCCAUAUGGCAAGGCCAAGAAAAUGGCAGAGGAUAUCAUUUUGGACUUCUCCAAGUCGAGGAAAUCAGACAUGUCGGUGAUGAUCCUGAGAUACUUCAACGUCAUCGGUUCUGACCCAGAAGGAAGGCUGGGUGAGGCUCCACCACCCGAAUUGCGUGAGCAUGGCCGUAUAUCCGGUGCGUGCUUCGACGCGGCACUAGGAAUAAUCCCAGGCUUGAAGGUCAAAGGUACCGACUACGAAACGGCCGACGGGACUUGCGUAAGAGAUUACAUCGAUGUCACCGACCUGGUGGAUGCCCACGUGAAAGCGCUCAACAAGGCAGAGAGAGGCAAAGUUGGCAUAUACAAUGUUGGCACCGGAAGAGGUAGGUCGGUGAAGGAGUUUGUGGAGGCUUGCAAGAAGGCGACCGGAGUCGACAUCAAGGUCGACUACUUCCCUCGCCGCCCCGGUGACUAUGCCGAAGUGUACAGCAACCCCGCAAGGAUCAACCGCGAGCUAAACUGGACAGCCCAGCACACCGAACUCCAGGAGAGCCUCAGGGUCGCGUGGACAUGGCAGAAGAAGCACCGGAGUGGCUAUGCAGACUCGGGUCGAUAUAUUUUUUGA